rnacentral:rRNA from 1 species
AGGACGAACGCUGGCGGCGUGCUUAACACAUGCAAGCGGAGCGACGAACCAGGGCUUGCCCUGGGGCAGAGCCGCGAACGGGUGAGUAACACGUGGGUUACCUGCCUUGAUGACCGGGACAACCCGAGGAAACUCGGGCUAAUACCGGAUGUGCCCGCAAGGGGAAAGGAAGCUUCGGCCUCCGCAUCAAGAUGGGCCCGCGGCCCAUUAGCUAGUUGGUGAGGUAACGGCUCACCAAGGCUUCGAUGGGUAGCUGGUCUGAGAGGACGAUCAGCCACACUGGGACUGAGACACGGCCCAGACUCCUACGGGAGGCAGCAGUGGGGAAUCUUGCGCAAUGCGCGAAAGCGUGACGCAGCAACGCCGCGUGGGGGAAGAAGGCUUUCGGGUUGUAAACCCCUUUCAGUUGGGACGAAGCUUCUCCGGUGAAUAGCCGGACGGAGUGACGGUACCUUCACAAGAAGCACCGGCUAACUACGUGCCAGCAGCCGC